GAUGAACGCUGGCGGCGUGCCUAAUACAUGCAAGUCGAGCGAACGGACGAGAAGCUUGCUUCUCUGAUGUUAGCGGCGGACGGGCGAGUAACACGUGGAUAACCUACCUAUAUGACUGGGAUAACUUCGGGAAUCCGGAGCUCAUACCGGAUAAUAUUUUGAACUUCAUGAUUCAAAAGUGAAAGACUGUAUUGCUGUCACUUAUAGAUGGCUCCUCGUUGCGUUAGCUAGUUGGUAAGGUAACGGCUUACCAAGGCAAUGAUGCAUAGCCGACCUGAGAGGGGGAUGGGCAACACUGGAACUGAGACCCGGCCCAGACUCCUACGGGAGGCAGCAGUAGGGAAUCUUCCGCAAGGGGCGAAGGCCUGACGGAGCAACGCCGCGGGGGUGAGGAAGGUCUUCGGAUCGUAAGACUCUGUUAUUAGGGAAGAACAUAGGUGUAAGUGACUGUGCACAUCUUGACGGUACCUUAUCAGAAAGCCACGGCUAACUACGUG
rnacentral:rRNA from 1 species